rnacentral:rRNA from 1 species
CCGGAGGAAGAGAAAGAAAAUUCGAUUCCCUUAGUAGCGGCGAGCGAAACGGGAAGAGCCCAAACCAACAAGCUUGCUUGUUGGGGUUGUAGGACACUCUAUACGGAGUUACAAAGGACGACAUUAGACGAAUCAUCUGGAAAGAUGAAUCAAAGAAGGUAAUAAUCCUGUAGUCGAAAAUGUUGUCUCUCUUGAGUGGAUCCUGAGUACGACGGAGCACGUGAAAUUCCGUCGGAAUCUGGGAGGACCAUCUCCUAAGGCUAAAUACUCUCUAGUGACCGAUAGUGAACCAGUACCGUGAGGGAAAGGUGAAAAGCACCCCGGAAGGGGAGUGAAAUAGAACCUGAAACCGUGUGCUUACAAGUAGUCAGAGCCCGUUAAUGGGUGAUGGCGUGCCUUUUGUAGAAUGAACCGGCGAGUUACGAUUUGAUGCAAGGUUAAGCAGUAAAUGUGGAGCCGUAGCGAAAGCGAGUCUGAAUAGGGCGUUUAGUAUUUGGUCGUAGACCCGAAACCAGGUGAUCUACCCUUGGUCAGGUUGAAGUUCAGGUAACACUGAAUGGAGGACCGAACCGACUUACGUUGAAAAGUGAGCGGAUGAACUGAGGGUAGCGGAGAAAUUCCAAUCGAACCUGGAGAUAGCUGGUUCUCUCCGAAAUAGCUUUAGGGCUAGCCUCAAGUGAUGAUUAUUGGAGGUAGAGCACUGUUUGGACGAGGGGCCCCUCUCGGGUUACCGAAUUCAGACAAACUCCGAAUGCCAAUUAAUUUAACUUGGGAGUCAGAACAUGGGUGAUAAGGUCCGUGUUCGAAAGGGAAACAGCCCAGACCACCAGCUAAGGUCCCAAAAUAUAUGUUAAGUGGAAAAGGAUGUGGCGUUGCCCAGACAACUAGGAUGUUGGCUUAGAAGCAGCCAUCAUUUAAAGAGUGCGUAAUAGCUCACUAGUCGAGUGACACUGCGCCGAAAAUGUACCGGGGCUAAACAUAUUACCGAAGCUGUGGAUUGUCCUUUGGACAAUGGUAGGAGAGCGUUCUAAGGGCGUUGAAGCAUGAUCGUAAGGACAUGUGGAGCGCUUAGAAGUGAGAAUGCCGGUGUGAGUAGCGAAAGACGGGUGAGAAUCCCGUCCACCGAUUGACUAAGGUUUCCAGAGGAAGGCUCGUCCGCUCUGGGUUAGUCGGGUCCUAAGCUGAGGCCGACAGGCGUAGGCGAUGGAUAACAGGUUGAUAUUCCUGUACCACCUAUAAUCGUUUUAAUCGAUGGGGGGACGCAGUAGGAUAGGCGAAGCGUGCGAUUGGAUUGCACGUCUAAGCAGUAAGGCUGAGUAUUAGGCAAAUCCGGUACUCGUUAAGGCUGAGCUGUGAUGGGGAGAAGACAUUGUGUCUUCGAGUCGUUGAUUUCACACUGCCGAGAAAAGCCUCUAGAUAGAAAAUAGGUGCCCGUACCGCAAACCGACACAGGUAGUCAAGAUGAGAAUUCUAAGGUGAGCGAGCGAACUCUCGUUAAGGAACUCGGCAAAAUGACCCCGUAACUUCGGGAGAAGGGGUGCUCUUUAGGGUUAACGCCCAGAAGAGCCGCAGUGAAUAGGCCCAAGCGACUGUUUAUCAAAAACACAGGUCUCUGCUAAACCGUAAGGUGAUGUAUAGGGGCUGACGCCUGCCCGGUGCUGGAAGGUUAAGAGGAGUGGUUAGCUUCUGCGAAGCUACGAAUCGAAGCCCCAGUAAACGGCGGCCGUAACUAUAACGGUCCUAAGGUAGCGAAAUUCCUUGUCGGGUAAGUUCCGACCCGCACGAAAGGCGUAACGAUUUGGGCACUGUCUCAACGAGAGACUCGGUGAAAUCAUAGUACCUGUGAAGAUGCAGGUUACCCGCGACAGGACGGAAAGACCCCGUGGAGCUUUACUGUAGCCUGAUAUUGAAAUUCGGCACAGCUUGUACAGGAUAGGUAGGAGCCUUUGAAACGUGAGCGCUAGCUUACGUGGAGGCGCUGGUGGGAUACUACCCUAGCUGUGUUGGCUUUCUAACCCGCACCACUUAUCGUGGUGGGAGACAGUGUCAGGCGGGCAGUUUGACUGGGGCGGUCGCCUCCUAAAAGGUAACGGAGGCGCUCAAAGGUUCCCUCAGAAUGGUUGGAAAUCAUUCAUAGAGUGUAAAGGCAUAAGGGAGCUUGACUGCGAGACCUACAAGUCGAGCAGGGUCGAAAGACGGACUUAGUGAUCCGGUGGUUCCGCAUGGAAGGGCCAUCGCUCAACGGAUAAAAGCUACCCCGGGGAUAACAGGCUUAUCUCCCCCAAGAGUUCACAUCGACGGGGAGGUUUGGCACCUCGAUGUCGGCUCAUCGCAUCCUGGGGCUGUAGUCGGUCCCAAGGGUUGGGCUGUUCGCCCAUUAAAGCGGUACGCGAGCUGGGUUCAGAACGUCGUGAGACAGUUCGGUCCCUAUCCGUCGUGGGCGUAGGAAAUUUGAGAGGAGCUGUCCUUAGUACGAGAGGACCGGGAUGGACAUACCUCUGGUGUACCAGUUGUCGUGCCAACGGCAUAGCUGGGUAGCUAUGUGUGGACGGGAUAAGUGCUGAAAGCAUCUAAGCAUGAAGCCCCCCUCAAGAUGAGAUUUCCCAACUUCGGUUAUAAGAUCCCUCAAAGAUGAUGAGGUUAAUAGGUUCGAGGUGGAAGCAUGGUGACAUGUGGAGCUGACGAAUACUAAUCGAUCGAAGACUUAAUCAAA